UACAGAGGGGGCAAGCGUUGUUCGGAAUUACUGGGCGUAAAGGGUGCGUAGGUGGCGAGGCAAGUCAGGUGUGAAAUCCCAGGGCUCAACCCUGGAACUGCACUUGAUACUACUUUGCUUGAGUACUGGAGAGGAGAUUGGAAUUUACGGUGUAGCAGUGAAAUGCGUAGAUAUCGUAAGGAAGACCAGUGGCGAAGGCGAAUCUCUGGACAGUUACUGACACUGAGGCACGAAGGCCAGGGGAGCAAACGGG
rnacentral:rRNA from 1 species